rnacentral:rRNA from 1 species
UACGUAGGGUGCGAGCGUUGUCCGGAAUUAUUGGGCGUAAAGGGCUCGUAGGCGGUCCGUCACGUCGGGAGUGAAAGCCCGGGGCUCAACCCCGGAAUGGCUUUCGAAACUGCUGAGCUAGAGUACAGAAGGGGCAACCGGAAUUCCCAGUGUAGCGGUGAAAUGCGUAGAUAUUGGGAAGAACACCUGAGGCGAAGGCGGGUUGCUGGGCUGAUACUGACGCUGAGGCGCGAAAGCCAGGGGAGCAAACGGG